GGGGUAGAUCGACCAAUCCCUCCCUCUAGAACCUCCUCUUCAUCCCAGAGGAGCCAGUCAGGGGAACAGAUUAGCCCCUUAGCCCUGCUGACUAUUCCCUUGACAACUCCCUACAUGUCAGUGGAAGGGUAGUAGUAGUACCAGGGGUGCCCUCCCUACAUGUCAGUGGAAGGGUAGUAGUAGUACCAGGGGUGCCCUCCCUACAUGUCAGUGGAAGGGUAGUAGUAGUACCAGGGGUGCCCUCCCUACAUGUCAGUGGAAGGGUAGUAGUAGUACCAGGGGUGCCCUCCCUACAUGUCAGUGGAAGGGUAGUAGUAGUACCAGGGGUGCCCUCCCUACAUGUCAGUGGAAGGGUAGUAGUAGUACCAGGGGUGCCCUCCCUACAUGUCAGUGGAAGGGUAGUAGUAGUACCAGGGGUGCCCUCCCUACAUGUCAGUGGAAGGGUAGUAGUAGUACCAGGGGUGCCCUCCCUACAUGUCAGUGGAAGGGUAGUAGUAGUACCAGGGGUGCCCUCCCUACAUGUCAGUGGAAGGGUAGUAGUAG